rnacentral:lncRNA from 1 species
AUUAACUUGGUAUUUCCAACACUUGAAAAUAAUCAAAACUGUUAAUUACCCCUCACACACUGUCAUUGCGCAGCGUGUGAUGAAAGAGAGAUGGAUCUUCGGCUGAGUUCCAGAGCAUUCUACAGAUCCCUUCCGGAUCCGGUACUAGCAUGUGUGGCACAUCACUAGAAUCAUGCAUUCUGGCAGCAUGGAAAAAAUAAGUAGGCACCUUUCUGAAUUUAGGGGAGCGCUGGAAAUG